GGUGUUCGAGAACUUGCUAUUUGUUGUGCUAUCUGACCCAGCUGAACUUCAAGAUUUUUUAUAGAGGCGGUGUUGUUUUUAUAGUUGUUUCUAGUCUCUUCUUGGAAUUGCAGAAAUUGAGCGGUCAUGUUUUCAAUGGCAAUCUCCUAGUCUGCUUUCCUUGGACCUUAUUGUUGCUACUGUUGUUGAUAUUGAGUCUGAU
rnacentral:lncRNA from 1 species